rnacentral:rRNA from 1 species
GAGUUUGAUCGUGGCUCAGAUUGAACGCUGGCGGCAUGCCUUACACAUGCAAGUCGAACGGCAGCAUGAUCUAGCUUGCUAGAUUGAUGGCGAGUGGCGAACGGGUGAGUAAUACAUCGGAACGUGCCCUGUAGUGGGGGAUAACUAGUCGAAAGAUUAGCUAAUACCGCAUACGACCUGAGGGUGAAAGUGGGGGACCGCAAGGCCUCAUGCUAUAGGAGCGGCCGAUGUCUGAUUAGCUAGUUGGUGGGGUAAAGGCCCACCAAGGCGACGAUCAGUAGCUGGUCUGAGAGGACGAUCAGCCACACUGGGACUGAGACACGGCCCAGACUCCUACGGGAGGCAGCAGUGGGAAUUUUGGACAAUGGGCGAAAGACUGAUCCAGCAAUGCCGCGUGUGUGAAGAAGGCC